GUGUUUUCCAGUGAAAAAGGUGUCUGAUAAAAAGACUUAAAAGGGAAUUUGGUGAAAGUCCAAAGCUGUCCCCGCAACUGUGAAUGCUGAUGAAAUAAGGAGAUCCACUGUGAGUAAACAUCAUGGGAAGGCCUUAAAGUAAAAAGAAGCAUAAGUCAGGAGACCUGCCUUUUUUAUGUCGUUUUA
rnacentral:ncRNA from 2 species